AACGAACGCUGGCGGCAGGCCUAACACAUGCAAGUCGAGCGGAUCCUUCGGGAUUAGCGGCGGACGGGUGAGUAACGCGUGGGAAUAUGCUCUUCUCUACGGAAUAGCCUCGGGAAACUGGGAGUAAUACCGUAUACGCCCUACGGGGGAAAGAUUUAUCGGAGAAGGAUUAGCCCGUGUUGGAUUAGGUAGUUGGUGGGGUAAUGGCCUACCAAGCCUACGAUCCAUAGCUGGUUUGAGAGGAUGAUCAGCCACACUGGGACUGAGACACGGCCCAGACUCCUACGGGAGGCAGCAGUGGGGAAUCUUAGACAAUGGGGGAAACCCUGAUCUAGCCAUGCCGCGUGAGUGAUGAAGGCCUUAGGGUUGUAAAGCUCCUUCAGCUGAGAAGAUAAUGACGGUACCAGCAGAAGAAGCCCCGGCUAACUCCGUGCCAGCCGCCGCCGUAAUAC
rnacentral:rRNA from 1 species